CAAUAAUUUGCCUUAACAGCAGCAAUUAGUUUGUGGGAUUCAGGAGCAGCAGCAGCAAAAAUAAAUCAGAGACGAGGUAAAUAUAACAGCAGAAACUAAUGCAAGUUUGGACUCAAUAUUUUUUGGGUUUAGCCCCUUUAUUUAUAGUCAAUAAUAAUGUGAGACCUACCUUUUUUUUUUCUGAAUAAUUAGCUAAUGGGCCUUUUACGUUGAGAACUUACAAAGAAGUUUGUUUAUAGAAUUGACAGGGGCCGCGCGGACGCAGGCCCCCACGGCAACAAAUUAUGACGUUGGCUCUCCUACAGUGAGGAGACCAUAGGCAGGCACCCCUCCUAAGUGCAAUGGAGGCCACCAACCUAGGCCAUGAGCCUUCUUGAUCGCCCAUUGACCCCG
rnacentral:lncRNA from 1 species